ACCUGGUAUCUGUAUGUAAAAAAUUAACCUCAACCCUUUAUUUCCAUACAUGAAAAUAACUUGAAGACAUCUAUGAACCUAAAUAUGAAAGCCUAAAACUAUAAAACUUUAAGAAGAAAUUAUAAGGGAAAAUGUUUAUGAAUUUAGGGAAGGCAAGAGCUUCCUAGGAUACAAAAAACAUGUAUAAAAGAAAAAAAAUUGAUAAAUGAGAUUCCAUCAAAAUUUAGAACUUUAAAUGACAUCAUUAAAAUGAAAAGUAGUCCUUAAACAGACCAUAUUUACAAUCCAUAUAACCUAUGAGCAGAAUAUAUAAAGAACUCUUACAGCUCAUAAAUAGACAACUCAAUUAAAAUGUAGAUGUAAGAAGAUGAUAAAUAGCCAGUAUAGCACAAGGAAAGGUGUGCAACAUUAGAAUCAGAAAAAUACUAAUUAGUACAAAAACAAGAUUGAGUUAUACAUUCAUGAGGGAGAUGAAGCUAAAAGUUUUAAAAGCCUUGUCAUGACUUUUUCUUUUUGUUGGAUUCUCCCCCUUUGUGUUUAAUUUGUCACCCCCAAUGGAUUCAUUCUGCUGGGUUUCCUGGGUUGUGAUCCUCAUUGUCUUUUCCUAGGGUAUUGUCUAAAAUUUUUUGGAGUUUUGGUUUGUUAUUCAUGAAGUUCCUAAGGUACUCUUUAUCGUGAAAGUAUCUUAUUUCUCCAUCAAUUUUGAAAGAUAGUUUUGCAGGGUACAUCAAUCUGGGUUGGAGGCUGUUUUCCUUUAGGGCUUGAAAUACAUCACUCCAAGCUCUUCUUGCCUUGGUGGUUUGUGUUGAGAAGUCUGCUGUGAUUCUGAUGGGCUUUCCUUUGUAUGUGAUUAGUUUCUUUUCUCUCACUGCUUGUAGAAUUUUGUUCUUGGGUUUCUGGAAUCCUAACUAUUAUAUGUCUAUGUGAAGUUUUUUUUUUGAUCAAGUCUAGUUGGAGUCUUAUAUGCCUCACUUAUCUGUAUGUCAUGUUCUUUUCUCCUGCUUGGGAAGUUUUCUGUCAUUACUUUUGUGAACAGUUUUUUUAUGUCAUCUGUACUCUCUCCUGUUUCUUCAUUGACUCCAAUCAGUCUUAUGUUAUGCUUCUUUGCAUCAUCUAGCAACUGCUGGAUUGCUUUCUCAUGGUCCCUUACAAUUUUAAAGUAAUUUUUAUUUUCCUGGUCACUAAUUGCAGUCUUAUCUUCUAUAUCUGAAAUUCUGUCCUCACAUUGGUUCAUUCUGCUGUGUAGACUUUCAAUGGAGUGCUUAAUCUCCUGGAAAUCUGUUUGCAUGUUUUAUGGUUUCCAUUUGUUUCCUAUGUUGGAAUUCCAUCAUGUUCCUCAGAUCCUCUAUUUUUUAAAUCUGUGUCCUCUCUAGAUUUAUUAAUCAUGUCUUGUACUAUGGGCACAAUCUCUGCUGUUAUCUGAGAAAUUAUUUCUGAUUUCAUUUUUUCCAGAUCCUCUUUUGUUGCUAGUUCAGGGAGUCCAGGUUGUUGAGUAUCAGUUUGUUCCAUCUUGUUUCCUUUUGGGCUUGCUGUAUGUGAUCUGGAAGUCUGUUUUUGAG
rnacentral:lncRNA from 1 species